GAGAUACUACGGGGGGCAGCGGUAGGGAAUCUUCCACAAUGGACGAAAGUCUGAUGGAGCAACGCCGCGUGAGUGAAGAAGGGUUUCGGCUCGUAAAGCUCUGUUGGUAGUGAAGAAAGAUAGAGGUAGUAACUGGCCUUUUUUUGACGGUAAUUACUUAGAAAGUCACGGCUAACUACGUGCCAGCAGCCGCGGUAAUACGUAGGUGGCAAGCGUUGUCCGGAUUUAUUGGGCGUAAAGCG
rnacentral:rRNA from 1 species